rnacentral:rRNA from 1 species
UACGGAGGAUGCAAGCGUUAUCCGGAUUUAUUGAGUUUAAAGGGUGCGCAGGUUGUUUGAUAAGUCAGUGGUGAAAGUCUGUCGCUUAACGGUAGGAUUGCCAUUGAUACUGUUGGACUUGAAUAUGGAUGAGGUAGGCGGAAUGUGUAGUGUAGCGGUGAAAUGCAUAGAUAUUACACAGAACACCGAUUGCGAAGGCAGCUUACUAAUCCAUCAUUGACGCUGAGGCACGAAAGCGUGGGGAUCAAACA